rnacentral:rRNA from 1 species
GACGAACGCUGGCGGCGUGCUUAACACAUGCAAGUCGAACGGAAAGGCCCUGCGUUUGUGGGGUGAUCGAGUGGCGAACGGGUGAGUAACACGUGAGUAACCUGCCCUUGUCUUUGGGAUAACUUCAGGAAACUGGGGCUACUACCGGAUAGGAGCUCCUGCUGCAUGGUGGGGGGUGGAAAGUUGCGGCGGUUGGGGAUGGACGCGCGGCUUAUCAGCUUGUUGGUGGGGUAGUGGUUUACCAAGGCUUUGACGGGUAGCCGGCCUGGGAGGGUGACCGGCCACCUGGGUACUACGAGACGCCGCAGACGCCAAUGUGAGGCAGUAGGGGCGAGUCUUACCCAACCGGCCGACGUCUGAGGCAGAAACGUCCGGUGCGGGAUGCCGUCCUUCUGGUUGAAAACCGCUUUCGCCUGUGACGACGCGGUUGUGACGGUAAUGGAUAAAGAAGCACCGGCUAACUACGUG